AGUGAACGCUGGCGGUAGGCCUAACACAUGCAAGUCGAACGGCAGCACAGUAAGAGCUUGCUCUUACGGGUGGCGAGUGGCGGACGGGUGAGGAAUACAUCGGAAUCUACUUUUUCGUGGGGGAUAACGUAGGGAAACUUACGCUAAUACCGCAUACGACCUACGGGUGAAAGCAGGGGAUCUUCGGACCUUGCGCGAUUGAAUGAGCCGAUGUCGGAUUAGCUAGUUGGCGGGGUAAAGGCCCACCAAGGCGACGAUCCGUAGCUGGUCUGAGAGGAUGAUCAGCCACACUAGAACUGAGACACGGUCCAGACUCCUACGGGAGGCAGCAGUGGGGAAUAUUGGACAAUGGGCGCAAGCCUGAUCCAGCCAUACCGCGUGGGUGAAGAAGGCCUUCGGGUUGUAAAGCCCUUUUGUUGGGAAAGAAAAGCAGCAGGUGAAUACCCCGCUGUUCUGACGGUACCCAAAGAAUAAGCACCGGCUAACUUCGUG
rnacentral:rRNA from 1 species